rnacentral:RNase_P_RNA from 1 species
UGCGUCGGCCGGAUGAUCGCGAGACAGGUCCUGCAGAGGAUGUCUGCUCGAGGAAAGUCCGGGCUCCGAAGGGUGGGCUGCCAGGUAACGCCUGGGCACGACGCAGCGGCGGGAUCGCUGCGGCGUGACGGAAAGUGCCACAGAAAAUACACCGCCGACGGCCGGCGUUCGCGUCGGAUCGGGCAAGGGUGAAAAGGUGCGGUAAGAGCGCACCGCGUUGCCGGUAACGGGAACGGCAGGGUAAACCCCAGCUGGAGCAAGGCCAAAUAAGCGGCGAGGAACGGCCCGUUCCGACCAAGACGCCGCGGGUAGGCUGCUGGAGCGUGCAGGUGACUGUACGCCGAGAGGAAUGAUCAUCCAUCACGUUCGCGUGAUGACAAAACCCGGCUUACAGGCCGGCGCAUAUC